rfam:Felis catus isolate Cinnamon breed Abyssinian chromosome X, whole genome shotgun sequence.
GCCUGAGUGGCUCAGUGGGUUGAGCCUCUGACUCUUGAUUUCGGCUCAAGUCAUGAUCUCGCAGGUUGUGGGUUCGAACCCCACGUCGGGCU